UAGGGAUCUGCCUGACAGUGGGGGGCAACAGCCGGAAACGGCUGCUAAUACCGCAUACGCUCUACGGAGGAAAGUGGGGGACCUUUCGGGGCCUCACGCUGACAGAUGAACCUAUAUCAGAUUAGCUAGAUGGUGGGGUAAAGGCCUACCAUGGCGACGAUCUGUAGCUGGUCUGAGAGGAUGAUCAGCCACACUGGGACUGAGACACGGCCCAG
rnacentral:rRNA from 1 species